rnacentral:misc_RNA from 1 species
GUCAGCGUUCUUUAAAUUCUCAGAAAGAGAGAGAACACACUUCGAAAUCAUAGAUGGCCAUCUCUUUAGCAACUUCAUAAGAGACUUUCCAGCAAGUACGCGAACAGUUUCAUAACUGUGCAAGGAGAGAUUUAAGAGAUCAUCGACCAAAAGAAUCACAUGCUCUGAUGGACAGAAAUUUCCAGAAACUCGGUAUAAAUGGUAGGAUGAUUG